UACGAAGGGUGCAAGCGUUACUCGGAAUUACUGGGCGUAAAGCGUGCGUAGGCGGUUUGUUAAGUCUGUCGUGAAAGCCCCGGGCUCAACCUGGGAAUGGCGAUGGAUACUGGCGAGCUAGAGUACGGUAGAGGAGAGUGGAAUUCCCGGUGUAGCAGUGAAAUGCGUAGAUAUUGGGAGGAACACCAGUGGCGAAGGCGGCUACCUGGACCGGUUCUGACGCUGAUGCGCGAAAGCGUGGGUAGCAAACAGG
rnacentral:rRNA from 1 species